CCCCCCCAGCCCAGUGCACAAGAAGGGUCCCUCCUCCCCCCUCCCGUCCCCUCCAGGCCAAAGGGAGCUCUCCACCCCCCCAGAGGGGAGGGGGUAGCAGAAGGGGCUCCCCAGCUCCCUCCGUUCAGGACGCCCGGACGGCCUCGGGUGGGGGGGGGAAGCAGGGCUCACCGCGUCGUCCCGAAAGCGGGUCAAGAAGCACAUACUAGAAAUAUAAACCGGGUAUUUGACAAAAGGAAUUUUGAGAAUAGCCCCUCCUUGGCCAGCCCCCGCCCCACAGAGGGAGGCCGGAGGAGCCCUCGUCCCCAGCGGUCCCCCCUUCCCAAGUCGCCAAGACCGCCGUCGGGCUGGGUCCUUGCAGCGCCCCAGCCGCACCAAGACCAGCCCCUCCGCCGGCAGCACCGCCCCACAGCCGAGAACCCGGCUGCCCCCCCGCCGCCAGGGUUCCUUGUGCCAAGAAUCGCCUGCCUUAACGUCUGGGGAGGGGUCGCAGCGGAGACGCCGGCGCCCACAGGCGGGCAGCCUCCCCCAGCCCGCCCCAGCCUGGCGGGGGCAAGCUCAGACAUGCGGGUACGUUGCAGACGCCUCCUCCCCGGCGCCCCUGUCAGUUCACUUUACCUUUAGGCACCUUGAGGACACGCAGGGAGGGACAGACCCGCCCCCCAAAACCGAAACAACGAAACCAAAAACCCCAUCCGGAUUCCACGACGGGAAACCACGCAGAGCGAGCGCGGGAGCCCACCCCGAGCCCCAGCGUGCUGCGGCCCUGGCCUUGCCACCUGCGUGGAACCUUCUGGAACUCGCCCACCACCUGCCGGCGCUCAGGGCUGCCGCGCUGGGCCUGAAGGGGAGGCAGGGGCGAGCCUGCGCCUACGACUCUCUCUCCAAAGGGAUAAGGAAGAUGCUGAAGAAGGUGACCUCCAAGGCUGGCCGGCAGCUGGAUCCUGAGAACCCUCCUCCCCACGGUUCGAGAUCUGGAGGCUUGAAGGAACCUCACCCCCCAAAACCCCGCGCACCCACUGCCUCCCAGGGAGGUAGUCAGCCCCUCCCCCCUGGAGAAUGCAAAGACGUUUCUAGUGAAAUGCCCCUCCCCCUCCCCCAGGUAAAGGCUACCUCACUCAAACGUUCUUGUCUGUGAUUGGACAAAUCACGCCUGAUACCAAAGAUUUCCCCCAAGGACCUGUGCUGGAUGCUGGAAUUCCCUCGCCUGGGCCCCGUCCUCCAGGUGCGCCCCGCUCCCCAGCAACGAGAGAGAGAGAGAGAGAGAGAGAGAGAGAGAGAGAGAGAGAGAGGAGGAAGGGGUGGGAGGGAGAGAGAGAGAAGAAGACAGACAGGGAAAGAGGGAGAGAGAGAGACAGGGAGAGAGAGAGACAGGGACAGAGGAAGAGAGAGAGAGGGAGAAGUGAAGGAGAGGGAGGCAGAGAGGAUACUGAGGUCGAUGAGUGCCUUUUUCUGGAACCAAAGAUGUGUGUGAAAUGUUCUCUUGUCCUUAUCGACUCGCUAUUCUCCCAGCUUUUUAAGCAACCAAUCUGAGUGAUGCUUCUAGAACCUUUGGGUGUUGGGGCAGAAUCCUAACAGUCCCUGUUCCCACUCAGCAACCAACCCCUCCCCCCAAACACACACACACACACACACACACACACACACACACACACACACGCAGGCUGCUGUCCUUUCAGUGGUGGCCCUGGGCGCUGGAGUCUGGGUGGCCGGACCCCUUCCUUCCGCCUCCUACUGUCACCUGGCCCCCCUGGACAGGGCGCCUGCUUGCAGGGGACAGGGCUUCUCAGAUACCCUGUGCUGGGUAAGUUACUUGCUCUUCCCAGCAUUUAAGGUCCAAGGGGCAGAGGCCAGAGGUCUCUGUUCUGUCCCCUGCUGGAUAGCUAGGAGUUGGCUUGGGACCUUUCUGGCUGUGGAACUUUCUAGCUAUGGUGACCUGUGGUCAGAUCGGGUCACAGAAGCAUCCCUGGAUUCCGGGGUCCCUUUCAAACACACCCCCCCACACACACACUCCAGCUCCAGUCCAGCCCCUCCAGGGGCGCUGCCUCCCUCCCCGACCCCCCACGGCCCCACCCCACUCUCCCCAACAUCCAGCUGGUUGUCACAUACCAAAGACCAUUCUCCGCGCAGGGAAUGAGACCUCCAGCACAGCUCCUUCGAGCCUUUGACAAUUUUCUCUGAAAUACCUCAAAAUAUUUAAUGUAUAGUUUAUGUGAUAAAAAAAAAAAAACCUUAGCUAGUUUUUGGAAUACGUGACUUGAAGCUUUAUACCGUUAAAUUAUAAUUUUGCAGACGAUGGUAUGUCAUUUCUUUGAAGAGUUCCGUGGGAGACGUAUUGAAUGUCAGGGCAGUGAGAGCCGGGCGGUCAGAGGCCAAGGGCAAGGCAGGGGAGCGGGAGGCGGAGGGCGCGGGACCGGCGUUUACAGAUUUCUUAAACUCAAACGAGUCUUUAGGAAAGACAGGAAGAGAGAGUGGACCUUUCUGUUCUCUGGCGUGUUCUGUUCCUCGUUGUUUGGAGUCGUGUCUUCUAAGAGUAUUUAUUAUCCUAUGUGUUCUGUGUUCAAAUGUAAUUUAAGAAAAAAAGUAAGAAAAAUCAAAAAAAAAAAGACAAUGGAAUUUGAUUUGAUGCAUG
rnacentral:lncRNA from 1 species